UUGGUGCUAACGUUCCAAAAGCCGUGGUACUUUGCCAAGUAGUGAAAGCCAAAGAGGACACGCUCAAUCAAUUAUACAGUUCGAUCAGUGCUCAAAGCACAGCAAGAAUUGAAGAACUGCUUCUAGAGGAUUAGAAUGUAAAACGUAAGAGGGAAAAAUGCC